UUGCAGCAUCUCGCCUUGCUUCUGCUCUGCUUAAGCAGCUCUGAAAAAGCACAGAAAAAUUUCACGUCUCAGGCCUUAAGGAAUCCAGUAUCCGACACAGUCACUUUAACUCAACUGGAUUGUUUCUUUUCACUUUAAUAAGAAGUAAAUUCAGAUGUUUAUAGAUGGGAGAGGGAGAAAAAAGCCUUGGCCUCAGUGUCCAUGAGAGGAAGUGGCAUUCACUGGUCCAAGAUGGACAGCUUGCAGUGAGCAAGACUUGGAGAAGGAGGUUCAUCCCAGCCUUUCUGAUGUGUAGAAAACAGCAAAGAGUACUCUUGAAGGUAAUUCAGCAUUUGGACAGCCUGCCUUUCUCUGCUUGUCUGAGAAUUUCCGCUGGAGCUCCUCUUGCUCUACAAACUAAUAUCUGCAAGAAUUUUUAACUGCUCCAAAGAGUAUCAGACAAAAGAAUAUCAUCAUAGGCAUGGUCCAGUACUCAGUAAGACAUGUGAAAGGAACGAUUUGUAAAAGCCAAGCAAAGGUAACUCAACGUAGACCAAACAGAUCUCUGAAUAAACCUCUCAGUAAGCCCAAGUAGGCCAAGGCAAACUAUUGAUCAGAAAUCCCAUGCUAGAUGAUCUUGUCUAAAACUCUUAAAAGGGGCAGACCAAGACAUCACUUCAGGAAGAAAAGAUCAUCUGAUUGACAGGUGAGACUCUGCUGGUGAAAAGCAACAUCAUCAAUUUGACACUGAAUACAUUACACCCAACACUGAUUGGCAGUUCCUAAAAGGCUUCAAAGAUUUUGGAAUACAGCAACAACAAAAAGGAAAGAAAUCAGCUGGACAGCCUCCUCAAGAGUCAUUUGUCUCGAGUAUGUCAUGAAAUAAAGGAAGAAGGAAGACAGAAGACGUUGGAGUUUAAUCCCUGCUCACAUUGUUUAAACUCUAUUAAGAAUCAGAUGACAUGGGACAACACUACCUAAAUCUUUUGGACUUAACUUUGUGUUGAAGAUAAAGAGAAUGGAUAUAAACUUUCAUCUGACUUUAUAGACCAAGGCACUGUGAACUUCUGCCACCAGUUCGGAUUGGUGGCAUACACUCGCAGCGGUAAUAAGCUCACCCACUGGCAUGUGAAAUCUAUGGGACUGUGGGUGCAACAUCUGCUUGUGUCCUUCAGGCUGAGUGAGGGGGUGUUUGUAACAGCCAUAAGCUAUAUAAAUCAGAGUCACUUUGCUGGUACAGAAUACCUUUAUUUCAGUCCCACUAAAGUCUUCCUGAUUUGGAAAAAAAAUCCAAAGUAAGGAUGUGUUUCGUAAUGACUGUACUAUCUUUUUUUCCACAUUCCCACACAAACACAAAUGUGUACCUCAGGAUGCAGCAGUUGGAAGAUGUUAAACAACCCUGUACCUAAAUCACUUAACAUGUGCUGUUACAUAUGUUGAGUGUAUGUGGUACAAACAAUGUUUAUCUGCUGCGUAUUCACUUUCAAAUCUUGUUCGGCUACAAACCCAUUCACUCCAACUAUUACCUUGUAUGACUAUUAAAAUGACACAUUUUAAACCAAUUUUGUUAUAAGCCACACAUUCCUUGCUGCUAAAUAUGUGAAUUUGUUAGGACUUGUCAAGAACACUAUUGUCUUAACCUCUACGUUUCCCUAAGUUCACUCUAAAUAAAGUAAACUUUGUUUCAUAUGUGGACAUUCAAACAGAGUGAGUACUAUGAAGUUCAUUCUAUGUGUAAACUUCAUUGUGACCUUUGAUGACUUUAGAUAGUUCAGGAAUUCUGCUGCUUGGAAAAAAAAAAAAGCUUAAUAAAGAUAUAUUAAGCUAUAACUUUGAGGUUUAGUUCCUCCCUCGCUAACUCCAAUCUCAGAAGAGUCUAGCCUGGCAGGGUAAGUGAAAAUGAUAACUUACAGCCAUCCAUUAGACUACCUUUAAAAGAGUUAAUGGGUGCUUUAAAGGAACAUUUUGAAAAUAAACAGCAUAGAUUUCUACCAUCCCGUCUUUUGUGAUGGAGCUGAAUCAAUCUGAACAACCUUUGUUUAUUUUUGGAACCAAUUACCAAGACAGACUUCAGAUUGCACACCAAAAAACCCAGUGCAUACACAUCUUGGGCAAAGAAUGUUGUUUUUGAAAUCUUGCUAAAGUGUGACUGCAAAAGCUUCUUAGCAAAUAAGAACCUAGACAUGUAAAAGAUAAUUUUUUCCCUUCAUGUUUAAAAUGGAAACAUAGUUAAAUUCACUUAGGUUGGUUUUCUACCCCUGCUAAAAUCAUUGACUCUAACUGUAUCAGGAAACAAGCCUACAUACCUUGAUUUCAAUCACCUACAGGUAAGGUUUAAUUGAACUUCCUUACUUUUGUCAACAUACUUCCAUGCAACUCUGAUGGUACAAUGAAGCACACUUAUCAUCUGUUGCAUCACUUCAGUGACCCACUGUGGUUAUAUUUAAGACCAUAUGUAGCUGCUAGCUGAGACUACAUUUUAUACUGUUCCAGCAAUGAAGCAAAAAUUUAAAACUUCAAAAGCAAGAGCAUGCUGCAAGGCAGGAUAGAGGCUAUAAUUCUUCAAUAGGCUACAACCCAAAUGAGGUAUCAGGCAUACCAGGAACACAGGGUGGAGCAGAACAGAUACUAUCAGACAUAUGAGCAUAAAACCAAAGAUCAAAUUCCAAGUUCCUUAUUUUCCCAGGCAACUAAAAUAGAUUUAAGCAGUUCAGAAAAUAAGAGAAUUUAAACUCUUGUCAAGUUGGUCUCCCUAAGUGCUCCAUUUCACAGCCUGAGCACAGAUAUACUGGAUGGAAGGUUAAACAAGACUGAAAAAAAAGUUUGAACUGUCGUCACUUGUUUCAGCCUUUUCAGUGCCCACAACUACUUCUCUCCUUUAAAUAAAUGAUGUAUUUUUUUAAAUACAGACACUAUCUUAUUUUAUUACUUGAAAUACCUUGCUUAAAGAUAAAGAUGUUUGUACUACUUUAACGUCUUCCAAGGGCACAAGGAAAUUACAAGGUGGAAGUCAGAUUAAUAUUUUUGAAAACAGAAGUUCCAGAUUUAUCAUCCUUGUUGGCAUGUAAGUUAUUAGAUACAAAGGAACUAAACUUACUUGCAACUGCACAGGCGCAUUCAAAAAUCUGAGUGCUUGCCAGGUCUGCACAAAACUGUUUUUAUUACCUGUCUUUCUGGGGCAAGAUUUAUAUGUGAAAGCUUGGAGUGAAGGGGAAAUAAAUGAGAAGUGCUGGGUUCAAAGUAUGGGUAUUAACAUAUGGUUUGCUGGUGUCCGUACAGGUACAAGAGAGAUCUUACAGCGUUAACUAUUUCAGUACUAACUGCUAUCAGGUUCAUAUAUCUCUGAUUUUUAAUUAAACUGAAGAAGUAUCUCUUUAUAAUGUAAGAUGGCAGCAUUUUAGAUUUCAAUUUCCUGUCCUUGCAAAAAUUGGUUUUAAUGUGAAAGGGAAAAUUUUAAGAGGACUCUUCUUCACUGUAAAAGAUUCUUAACCUACACUAACACAGUA